AUUGAACGCUGGCGGCAGGCCUAACACAUGCAAGUCGAGCGGAUGAAGGGAGCUUGCUCCUGGAUUCAGCGGCGGACGGGUGAGUAAUGCCUAGGAAUCUGCCUGGUAGUAGGGGAUAACGUCCGGAAACGGGCGCUAAUACCGCAUACGUCCUGAGGGAGAAAGUGGGGGAUCUUCGGACCUCACGCUAUCAGAUGAGCCUAGGUCGGAUUAGCUAGUUGGUGGGGUAAAGGCCUACCAAGGCGACGAUCCGUAACUGGUCUGAGAGGAUGAUCAGUCACACUGGAACUGAGACACGGUCCAGACUCCUACGGGAGGCAGCAGUGGGGAAUAUUGGACAAUGGGCGUAAGCCUGAUCCAGCCAUGCCGCGUGUGUGAAGAAGGUCUUCGGAUUGUAAAGCACUUUAAGUUGGGAGGAAGGGCAGUAAGUUAAUACCUUGCUGUUUUGACGUUACCAACAGAAUAAGCACCGGCUAACUUCGUG
rnacentral:rRNA from 1 species